AAAUAUGGUAAUGAGGUCAUAAUGAGGUUUGACGUCAUGACAGUUGCUCCGCCCUGAUUGAUCUUUAUAAGGAAAUAGAGCUCAAAAUAACUAUUUACCGAUAUUUGCAAGAAUUUGUAACAAACGGCAAUAUUUCCAUGUCUAAAUAAAUAAUUAUUAGUGAUUUUCUCCUAUAUAGAAUGGCAUGUUUUUAAAAUAAUCCGAUUUCUUAUGUGCCGUUUGGCUGCAUUCGGCUUCAGCCAAGCGCUUGCACUCGAUGACACGGAAUGUUGUUUACAUCUAAAAACGUGGCGACAUCAGCUGAGACAUGCAGUGGAUUUAUAUGCAAUAAUCAGACAUUCUUUAAAGAAUUGGGGAUAAGAUAAGAGAUAAGGCAUUGUUUAUCCCUAUUACGAGAAUAUGAGGACAUUAUUACAGAAAAUAAUGGAAGAGUGAGACGAUCUGCACCAGCUCCCUAGAUGAAUAAGAUCCAUCACUGCAGUGCAUUCAGCCCAGCAGUCAAGGGAUCCAGGCUUGAAGUAUAAAUAAAUACAAAAUGCAUCCAUUUCUCCACAGGAUAUUCCUAAAGAAUUAGACCAAUGGAAUCAUUCAUGAUCAGGCAGCAAGUUAAUCCACGAUGUAAGGAAAAUGAAUUGAUUUCAUCCACAAGAACAUGAAGUGAUGGAAAAAAAUUGCAGCCCCCCAGUAUUCCUUGUACAGUCUAUCUUAAUUUGAAAAUCUGUUUAUGAAAUAAAAUUUCUUCAUAAAAAAUUAUUUGACUUUUUCAUAUCCAUGUACUUACUGUACAGGUGUUGAAAAGGCUAUUAAGAUUUGAUAAUCUUGACUUGCUUAUAUUUGUGUGGUGCCAGACUGUCAAUGUCCAUCAAGAUUUUUUUCCAGCAUGUACAUUGUGUUAAUUUGUUUUUCUUAAUAAUAGUAACUAAAAAGGAGAUUAAAGGCCCCCCCCCCUAAUUGAUUCAAAACAAGAAAGGGGACCACCAUUUUAUUCUAAAGGGAAGUGUGGGGGGGGGGGUGGCAAGUUUUCCCAAGUCAUUAUGUUUUUUAUUUCUUUUCAUGUCAAUGAAGGACAGGUCUACUAAUAUUUACUUCCAAUAUGAUGAAGGACAGGUUAUUUAUUUUCCUCCCUACUGAAAAAUGUCUGACAAGCUAAACAAAAUUAUAGGAGGGGGAACACUGGUCUGGGGCAGAUUAAUUUUUUUAUCCUAUUUGGGACAUAUUUAUUUUCAACAUUUCAGAUCUACCCACCCCCCUCUUUUGGAAUAAAAUGGUAGUCCCUUUAACAAAUACAGGAAUUUGUAUGUUUUCCACUUAGUCUUAGUUCUUAAAACGUAUGACUUAAAUCCCAUAGGGGUUGAAGGUUUUAAAGAAAGCCAUGAUAUAAUCUUGUAUGCGAAAAAAAAUAUUUGUACACAAUUGCAUGUACAUUAGUGACAAAGGGGUAUGAUUAUCGAAUUAAUUAUUGAUGGAGGCUAU